rnacentral:rRNA from 1 species
GUGCACCAGUCGCGAAUUUUUCACAAUGGGGGAAACCCUGAUGGAGCGACGCCGCGUGGAGGAUGAAGGCCCUCGGGUCGUAAACUCCUGUCAUGCGGGAACAAGAAAGUGAUAGUACCGCAAGAGGAAGAGACGGCUAACUCUGUGCCAGCAGCCGCGGUAAUACAGAGGUCUCAAGCGUUAUUCGGAUUCAUUGGGCGUAAAGGGUGCGUAGGUGGCGAUGUAAGUCUGGUGUGAAAUCUCGGGGCUUAACCCCGAAACUGCAUUGGAUACUGCGUUGCUUGAGGAUUGUAGAGGAGAGUGGAAUUCACGGUGUAGCAGUGAAAUGCGUAGAUAUCGUGAGGAAGACCAGUUGCGAAGGCGACUCUCUGGGCAAUUCCUGACACUGAGGCACGAAGGCCAGGGGAGCAAACGGGAUUAGAUACCCCCGUAGU